CUGACCAAUGGUUGGCCAACUGUUGAUCAGUGGGUUGGCCAAUGGUUGGCCAGAAUUUGAUGAAUGAGUUGACCAAUGGUUGGCCAGCAGUUGAUGAAAGGAUUGACCGACCAAUGGUUGGCCAGCAGUUGAUGAAAGGGUUGACCAAUGGUUGGCCAACAGUUGACCAACUCCUGCUCAGUGGGUUGGCCAAUGGUUGACCAACAGUUGACCAACUAUCAGUGGGUUGGCCAAUGGUUGACCAACAGACCAAUGGUCAAUCAAUGCGUUGGCCAACAGUUGACCAACUGCUGAUCAGUGGUUGGCCAAUGGCUGGCCAGCAGUUGAUGAAAGGAUUGACCGACCAAUGGUUGGCCAGCAGUUGAUGAAUGGGCUGACCAAUGGUUGGCCAACUGUUGAUCAGUGGGUUGGCCAAUGGUUGGCCAGAAUUUGAUGAAUGAGUUGACCAAUGGUUGGCCAGCAGUUGAUGAAUAAGUUGACCAAUGGUUGGCCAACUGUUGAUCAGUGGGUUGGCCAAUGGUUGGCCAGCAGUUGAUGAAAGGAUUGACCGACCAAUGGUUGGCCAGCAGUUGAUGAAUGGGCUGACCAAUGGUUGGCCAACUGUUGAUCAGUGGGUUGGCCAAUGGUUGGCCAGCAGUUGAUGAAAGAAUUGACCGACCAAUGGUUGGCCAGCAGUUGAUGGAAGGAUUGACCAACCAAUGGUUGGCCAGCAGUUGAUGAAUGGGUUGACCAAUGGUUGGCCAGCAGUUGAUGAAUGAGUUGACCAAUGGUUGGCCAACUGUUGAUCAGUGGGUUGGCCAAUGGUUGACCAAAUAUCAGUGGGUUGGCCAAUGGUUGGCCAACAGACCAAUGGUCGAUCAAUGCGUUGGCCAACAGUUGACCAACUGCUGAUCGGUGGUUGGCCAAUGGUUGGCCAGCAGUUGAU